rnacentral:rRNA from 1 species
CAAGUCGAGCGAACGGACGAGAAGCUUGCUUCUCUGAUGUUAGCGGCGGACGGGUGAGUAACACGUGGAUAACCUACCUAUAAGACUGGGAUAACUUCGGGAAACCGGAGCUAAUACCGGAUAAUAUUUUGAACCGCAUGGUUCAAAAGUGAAAGACGGUCUUGCUGUCACUUAUAGAUGGAUCCGCGCUGCAUUAGCUAGUUGGUAAGGUAACGGCUUACCAAGGCAACGAUGCAUAGCCGACCUGAGAGGGUGAUCGGCCACGCUGGAACUGAGACACGGUCCAGACUCCUACGGGAGGCAGCAGUAGGGAAUCUUCCGCAAUGGGCGAAAGCCUGACGGAGCAACGCCGCGUGAGUGAUGAAGGUCUUCGGAUCGUAAAACUCUGUUAUUAGGGAAGAACAUAUGUGUAAGUAACUGUGCACAUCUUGACGGUACCUAAUCAGAAAGCCACGGCUAACUUACGUGCCAGCAGCCGCGGUAAUACGUAGGUGGCAAGCGUUAUCCGGAAUUAUUGGGUGUAAAGCGCGCGUAGGCGGUUUUUUAAGUCUGAUGUGAAAGCCCACGGCUCAACCGUGGAGGGUCAUUGGAAACUGGAAAACUUGAGUGCAGAAGAGGAAAGUGGAAUUCCAUGUGUAGCGGUGAAAUGCGCAGAGAUAUGGAGGAACACCAGUGGCGAAGGCGACUUUCUGGUCUGUAACUGACGCUGAUGUGCGAA